rnacentral:misc_RNA from 1 species
GAAAUUUCAUGGUAAAAAGCCAACGAAAAGCAGGAGGCAAAACUUUAACCUGUUAUAAUGUUAAGUGAAUAAAAUACUCUGGGCUACUAGCUUACAAAUAUUCUAAGAAGAAUGCACCUGAAAACUAUAGUGUUGGAGACUGGAAGUUUAUGAAUUUAGCUCUAGUAAACUAUAAUGAAACAUGGAAUGAAUAAGAAUAAACUAAAAAUUAAAAUCUAGACCUGAUCUGAAAUCAUUGGGCGGAAGUACAAAUGAAAUAGAUUUAGCAGAAUGACUAGUUUAAUUUAUUGGGAAAAACUAUUGAGGCACUUGAACCUUCCUACUCCUACACAAAGUCAAUUUUCUGCAAAAUAUUUCUAGCUUUGGCCGGAUUAAUUUCAUUCACUUUUUUGAACUUUGACCUUUAUAAUAGCUCCAUCCCUGAAUUUCAGACUCCCUGCAACUUUGAUUUGCUGCAUAUUAAAAUUGCUCUUAAUUACUAUUGAAGGUUUCUUGGUUGCCAAGUUGAUGUGGCACCAA